CACGUAGGGCGCAAGCGUUGUCCGGAAUUAUUGGGCGGAAAGAGCUCGUAGGUGGUUUGUCGCGUCUGCUGUGAAAACCGGAGGCUCAACCUCCGGCCUGCAGUGGGUACGGGCAGACUAGAGUGCGGUAGGGGAGAUUGGAAUUCCUGGUGUAGCGGUGGAAUGCGCAGAUAUCAGGAGGAACACCGAUGGCGAAGGCAGAUCUCUGGGCCGUAACUGACGCUGAGGAGCGAAAGCAUGGGGAGCGAACAGG
rnacentral:rRNA from 1 species